rnacentral:rRNA from 1 species
ACACAUGCAGUCGAACGAUGAAGCCCAGCUUGCUGGGUGGAUUAGUGGCGAACGGGUGAGUAACACGUGAGUAACCUGCCCCUGACUCUGGGAUAAGCCCGGGAAACUGGGUCUAAUACCGGAUAUGACUUUUGACCGCAUGGUUGAGGGUGGAAAGAUUUAUCGGUUGGGGAUGGACUCGCGGCCUAUCAGCUUGUUGGUGAGGUAAUGGCUCACCAAGGCGACGACGGGUAGCCGGCCUGAGAGGGUGACCGGCCACACUGGGACUGAGACACGGCCCAGACUCCUACGGGAGGCAGCAGUGGGGAAUAUUGCACAAUGGGCGCAAGCCUGAUGCAGCGACGCCGCGUGAGGGAUGACGGCCUUCGGGUUGUAAACCUCUUUCAGUAGGGAAGAAGCGAAAGUGACGGUACCUGCAGAAGAAGCGCCGGCUAACUACGUGCCAGCAGCCGCGGUAAUACGUAGGGCGCAAGCGUUAUCCGGAUUUAUUGGGCGUAAAGAGCUCGUAGGCGGUUUGUCGCGUCUAUCGUGAAAGUCCGAGGCUCAACCUCGGAUCUGCGGUGGGUACGGGCAGACUAAGAGUGAUGUAGGGGAGACUGG